AAUUAGAAAAUGGUAUCAUUGUAUUGUCUGUUCUGUUUUUGUGUCCAUACCAUGUGAACACUAUCCUGAGAUUCCAAGAUCCACAGAGUCCAGUCAAUCCAGCCUCAAGUACAAACCACUGAUCGUCAUUCACAAUCCUACAUCUCCCAUAAUUGCUCUUCUUUCUUGAGCUAAUAAGGUUCAUCCAGCCAAGUCAUAUUCUAAGCCAUCCAAACAAUAAUGGAUGCUUCCAAACAUCAUAGGAAGCAUCCACAAAGACUGCCUGCAUCCAUCCAGUUGUCUCCUAAUAUAUCAAAAUUAAGUUCAUGGAACAACACAAAAAUGGUCAAAAUGUACUAAAACUAACAAAGACAUAUGAAAUGCACUGAAGUCAUAAUUUCCCCCAUGCAAGAGAUUCUAUACUCCAUUCA